AGGGAUCAUUACCAGAAGCCGCGUCGGCGGAAACGCCGGCGCCUUCGCCCAACCCUUUGUGAACCGAUGUGAUUGCCCCGGGGGACCCCGCGCCAGCGGGCCCCCGGCGGCCCACCUCAACUCUUGUUGUCCCUGCCGUCCGAGUCGCAAGCAAAUGAAACAAAACUUUCAACAACGGAUCUCUUGGUUCUG
rnacentral:misc_RNA from 1 species